GAUGAAGAACGCAGCGAAAUGCGAUAAGUAAUGUGAAUUGCAGAAUUCAGUGAAUCAUCGAAUCUUUGAACGCACAUUGCGCCCCUUGGUAUCCCGAGGGGCAUGCCUGUUCGAGCGUCAUUUCACCACUCAAGCCUGGCUUGGUGUUGGGCGACGUCCCCUUUAGGGACGCGCCUCGAAACGCUCGGCGGCGUGGCACCGGCUUUAAGCGUAGCAGAAUCUUUCGCUUUGGAAGUCGGGGCCCCGCCUGCCGGAAUACCUACUCGUAAGGUUGACCUCGGAUCAGGCAGGGAUACCCGCUGAACUUAAGCAUAUCAAUAAGCGGAGGA
rnacentral:misc_RNA from 1 species